GGAAGCUCGUCAUUUUGUAUAAAAUUAGGUUAAUGUUGUUCUCUUCAGCUAUACAACAACACAUAAUGUACUACAUUACAGUAAUUUUGGUGAAGAGAUUCCAAAUAAUCCCAACUAUACAAAGCUGCAAAAAUUGUCCCUACUAUUUAAUCUUGAAAAGGGGCACAUUCCACUCACGAAAAUUUGAAAAUGGAGUUCCCUUUCCAAGGUACACGUCUUAUAGUCCAUGACACUGCAAGCGUAUGAGGUGUAACAUUUGAAAUGUUGGAGCUAUAACAUCUCUUUA
rnacentral:misc_RNA from 1 species